rnacentral:tRNA from 1 species
UGGGGUUGUGGCUCAGCGGUAGAGCACUUGCCUAGCACAUGUGAGGCACUGGGUUCGAUCCUCAGCAUUAA